ACACUCCUACGGGAGGUAGCAGUGGGGAAUAUUGGACAAUGGGCGCAAGCCUGAUCCAGCCAUGCCGCGUGAGUGAUGAAGGCCCUAGGGUUGUAAAGCUCUUUCACCGGUGAAGAUAAUGACGGUAACCGGAGAAGAAGCCCCGGCUAACUUCGUGCCAGCAGCCGCGGUAAUACGAAGGGGGCUAGCGUUGUUCGGAUUUACUGGGCGUAAAGCGCACGUAGGCGGACUAUUAAGUCAGGGGUGAAAUCCCGGGGCUCAACCCCGGAACUGCCUUUGAUACUGGUAGUCUUGAGUUCGAGAGAGGUGAGUGGAAUUCCGAGUGUAGAGGUGAAAUUCGUAGAUAUUCGGAGGAACACCAGUGGCGAAGGCGGCUCACUGGCUCGAUACUGACGCUGAGGUGCGAAAGCGUGGGGAGCAAACAGGAUUAGAAACCCCGGUAGUCCCA
rnacentral:rRNA from 1 species